UUUGUUUUGUCACAAAUCUGCGACAUUCUAGAGACAUUAAUGUGACUAAAUUUUUCAGUCAUAUGAUAGUAACUGUUUAGUCGCAAUAUUGUGACAAUCUAAGCCGUAGUUAAUUUUCGUCACAAACUGUGACAUUCUAGAGACAUUAAUGUGAUUAAGAAGUUGUAGUCAUAAAAUAGCAACUGUUUAGUCAUAAUAUUGUGACGAUCUAAGCCGUAGUUAAUUUUCGUCACAAUUAGUAACAUAACUAUGACAAAAAGAGAUUUCGUAACAAUCGUGACAUAGAUCUUUUAGUAAUAUUCAUUGUCGUUUAUGUAAUAUAGUUAUAUAAAAUUAAAUGGAAGUGUUAGCAAACCUAUGUUAUGGAAACAAAAUAAAUAAAAUGGCAAUGGAGAGAUAUAAAUUUAGUGAUGCCAAGUUAAAGAAGGAUUAUGUUUGUAUGGGAAAUAAGAAAAUAAUUCUUACUGGAAUUUUUAGCCCUUUCUCAGAAAAAAAAUUCUUACUGGAAUUUUUAACUAGAGAAACAGUUUUCAAUUUUAGGAGAGUAUACAAUUUAGUAGUUGAAGAAAGACGGACGAAAUAAGCACCAACUGUCAUUACUCUUCGGUCAUUGAUAUCCAAAGAUUAUCGGUCAUUACUCAUUAGUACCCAAAGAUUUAAUUUUACAAAGGAGUAUAAGAAAUUAAUUAGAGAAUCAAAGUGGUGCGAUAAAUCCCGGUAAAUAAGCAUUAAAUCCGGGUUGUUACCGUAAUAGGCACCAAACGUUAUUACUCAUUAGUAUCUAAAGAUUUAAUUGAAUACAAUAUAUAAAAAAAAUAAACAAGUUAACAACUUACUCUCUUCCUCAUUCACAAGUUUACCUAAAAACCUAAGAACUGUUCUUGUACAAAAUUGAAGCUGUCUCUUUUUUGGUUUCUAAAUUUCCACAAUCACUAAUUUCAGUUUGCAUUACAUACAUCUUCUAAUCAUCGGUGUGCGCCUUUAUGAGAGAGGAUCAAAUUCCCAGCCUAUCGAUUUUGGAAGACCUUUUUCUCUUGGACUUUAUCAAGAAGAGAAACGAGAGUCAACCCAUAUAAGAUCACUCGACAAGAUCACAAACCUCCCAAGAUGGCCAGUUUAUAAGAUCGAGAUUCUGUUAAUAAGGCCGGUGCGGAAAUAACACUACAAGAUUUGAUGAAUCUAUUCAUUUGCUUUCCUCUGCUUCUGGGAUUUUCUUCUUCGUUUAGUUUAUUCUUUCUGAUAUUGUUUAACAGACUCUUGUUCUAUGUAUAAUGUAGUAUAUUAUAAUAAUCUUGACAUCUAUGUAAGUUUUUGUGUAUGUUUUUUCUUUUAAUAAUAAUUUCCUAAUUGUGUA